UGAACGCUGGCGGCAUGCUUUACACAUGCAAGUCGGACGGCAGCACAGAGAAGCUUGCUUCUUGGGUGGCGAGUGGCGAACGGGUGAGUAAUAUAUCGGAACGUACCGAGUAAUGGGGGAUAACUAAUCGAAAGAUUAGCUAAUACCGCAUAUUCUCUGAGGAGGAAAGCAGGGGACCUUCGGGCCUUGCGUUAUUCGAGCGGCCGAUAUCUGAUUAGCUAGUUGGUGGGGUAAAGGCCUACCAAGGCGACGAUCAGUAGCGGGUCUGAGAGGAUGAUCCGCCACACUGGGACUGAGACACGGCCCAGACUCCUACGGGAGGCAGCAGUGGGGAAUUUUGGACAAUGGGCGCAAGCCUGAUCCAGCCAUGCCGCGUGUCUGAAGAAGGCCUUCGGGUUGUAAAGGACUUUUGUCAGGGAAGAAAAGGCUGUUGCUAAUAUCAAUAGCUGAUGACGGUACCUGAAGAAUAAGCACCGGCUAGCUACGUG
rnacentral:rRNA from 1 species